CUAUGACGAGCACCACUGUUGGCUUCUCUGCUGAGGCAGUUGCAGCCGAUGCCUCUGUAGAGGAAGAUGGCCCGGCGCUAGCAGCACUUUCAGAAGCUCGUCGCUCAUCGUUCUCAGCUUCUGAAGCAGGCAUUACCGCAACUUACUUUAUUGACUAUGCUGCGAAGGUUGCAGCCUGCACUACCCCUUCUCAGCAAUGACAACUAAUUAGGUCCAGCGUUCUCAUAUGUAUCGCCUAAAAAGAGAGAACGUAUCAAUGCAAGGCACAGAUCUUGCUUUCCUCAAACUAUUUUAAGGGGACCUCAAUAGGGAG
rnacentral:lncRNA from 1 species